UUCAUUUCUCCUACCUGUCUUUUAGAUUCUUUUCUCUAACUGCCAGUUUUCUACCUUAACGACUGCUGACUCUUGUAUCCCUAUCAGUGCAAUCAACCGCCGGUUACGUGCACACUGAGCUCUGCAUCAACGACCCCCACCCUUCUCUGUGUUACCUGCUCACCUCUCCCAAUUGCAACCAACUGCCAGUUACGUGCACACUGAACUCUGCAUCAACGACCCCCACCCUUCUCUGUGUUACCUGCUCGCCCAUCCCAAUACAUUGUGAUACCAGAGAUUAUUGAGGGAAACCUACGAAAUGGCCAAAGGGAAGAAAUCCACGGUGCUGAGAACCUCGUUCCGCAGAAGGAACAACUUUGUAUUCAGAACCAACUACUUCCAGACUCACCAAUCAUUGGAUUCCAUCGGAGUGGAUCUCGCCCAGAACAUGUCCCAAGUGUUCAUGUUGGUGUCGGAGGUGGUGCACUUUGUUGGCAGCGCCGCCAAUAGGGUUUUGCAGUCUCUGGUUUUCGUGGUUAAUAAUCUGUGCAAAGCUGCUGCGGUGCUGGUGCAUAUUGUGCUGACACUCUGCAAUGUGCUCUGGCUCCUGGGCCAACCCUUAGUCAUACUGUUCAAACUUGCUGUGGCCAAGUCAGAAGCCUCGGCUAGUAAUAAUACACGCAAAAUAACACCCACAAAAAACAUUAAUGAUGAAAAGCAUCCCCUCCCCUCCAUCACUAAAGGCCACACACUGACCAACCCUAUAGAGCAUCGCAAUGUUUGGCCCCUGGGCCAGCCAAAUGGAUUCCACAAUGUCUGGCAAAACACAGGAUGGCUGAAUGGUACUCCCAUUAGUGCUAAAAUGAUGUAAAGGGUUGCUGCUUUAAAAUACAAAAAAUCCCACCUGAUCUCUGUUAAUCUGUCUCCCUGUUCUCUGUUCCUGCAUUUGGAGUUGGGAGCAAUAAGCACAGUUUCCCAGCACUG